rnacentral:rRNA from 1 species
AUUGAACGCUGGCGGCAUGCUUUACACAUGCAAGUCGAACGGUAACAGGCCGCAAGGUGCUGACGAGUGGCGAACGGGUGAGUAAUGCAUCGGAACGUGCCCAGUCGUGGGGGAUAAUUACUCGAAAGAGUAGCUAAUACCGCAUACGAUCUAUGGAUGAAAGCGGGGGACCGUAAGGCCUCGCGCGAUUGGAGCGGCCGAUGUCAGAUUAGGUAGUUGGUGGGGUAAAGGCUCACCAAGCCAACGAUCUGUAGCUGGUCUGAGAGGACGACCAGCCACACUGGGACUGAGACACGGCCCAGACUCCUACGGGAGGCAGCAGUGGGGAAUUUUGGACAAUGGGCGCAAGCCUGAUCCAGCAAUGCCGCGUGCAGGAAGAAGGCCUUCGGGUUGUAAACUGCUUUUGUACGGAACGAAACGGCUCUGGUUAAUACCCGGGGCUAAUGACGGUACCGUAAGAAUAAGCACCGGCUAACUACGUG